UGCAAAGCCCACUUGGAAUAUUGUUGAGUUGAUCUGAACUGUUCUGGAGAAAGACACAGAGGAAUGAAGUGGUUUCUAUGGCCACAUCACUUGGUGGCAGAACAAACUAAAUUCUCUACCCUGGGCAUGAUGAACUCCAAUACGGAGUAAAUGUGCCUUUGCUGCCUGCCAGCUGCCAGCUUCCACUUCCUCCCCACAAGACAAAUGCAUAUGAAGACGGUAUGCGCUCGUCUGGCCUCAUUUAGGUUUUUGUUAGUCAUCCCUGCUGUCGCUGGCCUGUGACCUUGGAAGGACUAUUUGAGCAGCUUGAAUGGAGUGAUCAGCAGAAGGUUAGUUACACUGGCAGCCUCUAAAGUUAUCCUGCACCAACACUUGC
rnacentral:lncRNA from 1 species